CGGGAUGUGGCUCAGCCUGGUUAGAGCGCCGCGUUUGGGACGCGGAGGCCGCCGGUUCGAAUCCGGCCAUCCCGA
rnacentral:tRNA from 1 species